rnacentral:rRNA from 1 species
UGAGGAAUAUUGGUCAAUGGGCGGAAGCCUGAACCAGCCAUGCCGCGUGCAGGAAGACGGCCCUACGGGUUGUAAACUGCUUUUCUGCGGGAAGAACGGCCCCUACGUGUGGGGGUGUGACGGUACCGCAGGAAUAAGGAUCGGCUAACUCCGUGCCAGCAGCCGCGGUAAUACGGAGGAUCCGAGCGUUAUCCGGAUUUACUGGGUUUAAAGGGUGCGUAGGCGGCUCCCUCAGUCAGCGGUGAAAUGUGUCGGCUCAACCGACAACCUGCCGUUGAUACUGUGGAGCUUGAGUUGGGUUGAGGCAGGCGGAAUGUGCGGUGUAGCGGUGAAAUGCAUAGAUAUCGCACAGAACGCCGAUUGCGUAGGCAGCUUGCCAAGCCCACACUGACGCUGAGGCACGAAAGCGUGGGGAUCAAACA